rnacentral:lncRNA from 1 species
GCAUAAGUUUGCCGUUCACCAGUAUGUAAUUCUUUGAUCGUCGAAUGAGGCGCUCGUUCUCUGUUUUAUCCUGAAAGCCUGACCCGUCCGAUAUAUAUCUGAUGAACGGGGUGCGCCAGUCACAGUUACUGGUUGUCGGAGUAACGACGUCUAAGAUCAUUGCCUCGGUAGGUUGCUUUUCGACCAGGCCUGAGCCCACACUUGGCUCAUGGAUGUCCUGGACGAAAACACCUCGCGGGAUCUGGGCCCGAGAUGACCCUAACUUUGACAA